rnacentral:rRNA from 1 species
GACGAACGCUGGCGGCGUGCCUAAUACAUGCAAGUCGAACGCUUCUUUCCUCCCUAGUGCUUGCCCGCUAUUUGAAAGAGGGGUGGCGGACGGGUGAGUAACACUUGGGUAACCUACCCAUCAGAGGUGGAUAACACUGGGAAACAGGUGCUAAUACCUCAUAACAGUUUAUGCCUCAUUGCAUAAGACUGGAAGGCGCGUUCGUGUGUCGCUGAUGGAUGGACCCGCAGUGCAUUAGCUAGGUGGUGAGGUAACGGCUCACCAAGGCCACGAUGCAUAGCCGCCCUGAGGGGGAGAUCGGCCACACUGUGAGUGAGACAGGGCACCGACUCCGGCGGGAGGCCGCAGUCGGGAAUCUUCGGCAAUGGACGAAAGUCUGACAGAGCAAAGCCGGGUGAGUGCAGAACGUGUUAUGCUGGUAAAACUCUGUUGUUAGUGAAGAACAAGAACGUUAGUAACUGAACGUAUAAUGACGGUACCUAACCAGAAAGCCACGGCUAACUCCGUG